AGAUUGAACGCUGGCGGCAGGCCUAACACAUGCAAGUCGAGCGGCAGCACGGGUACUUGUACCUGGUGGCGAGCGGCGGACGGGUGAGUAAUGCCUAGGAAUCUGCCUGAUAGUGGGGGAUAACGCUCGGAAACGGACGCUAAUACCGCAUACGUCCUACGGGAGAAAGCAGGGGACCUUCGGGCCUUGCGCUAUCAGAUGAGCCUAGGUCGGAUUAGCUAGUUGGUGGGGUAAUGGCUCACCAAGGCGACGAUCCGUAACUGGUCUGAGAGGAUGAUCAGUCACACUGGAACUGAGACACGGUCCAGACUCCUACGGGAGCAGCAGUGGGAAUA
rnacentral:rRNA from 1 species